GGGCAGUGAACUUGCUCCCACAUGGCCAGCCUCUGGGCAAGCCCCGGGAGAACACACAGCCAGUGAUUCAUCCUGGGCCCGUUUCCUUCGAGAGGGAUGGGGUGAGAGGCCCAGCCACGCAGAGCCUCUGUGCCUCUCAGACCCCAGAGAUGCCAGCCAGCCACAGGAGGAGCUCGCGGUCCAGUGGGGAGUCCAGAAAGGAAAGUAGGCUUCACCACCUGGCAUGCUGUGUGUCCUUAGACACGUGUGUGCCCUCUCUGGGCUGCGGGCAUGUGGGUGUAUCAUGCAUCGGAAUAAUUUAAAACAUGCCUGUUGAGCGUCUAACCGUAGCCAGGCCCAUUCUCGGCACAGAGGAGAGUGGAGACUGAGGCGGACAAUUUGAGAAGAAAGAAAACGGCCUGUUUGUUCUCCACCCCCUCGUGUUAGGGAGCAAAUCCGUGCCCACUGCCAGGAUAUCAAGGGUGUGAAAACGGCCACACGCAUGACCAGGAUUCCCUGAAAAGGCCUCGCUGGCAUCCCGUCCCCGGGCUCCACUCCGGCAGUAAACCCCAGCUUCCUUCACCUUUGCUGAGCCCCGGGCCCCCUUGGUGCCCGGUGAAGUCCGCACGCUUCUUCUCGGAAAAGUGUUUUCAAACACGCGUAGUAAAGAACAUAGCAUUAGGGUGGAGAUCAAUUACCCUGGAAUAGGGUUGGUGAAAUAUCUGUGGUGUAGAAACGCCGUGUUUCUUUCUUAGCGCGUUAAAAAACAAGACCCCGCGUCGGGUCCAACUACUAUCCUUUUGACGGAACGAGGAGAAAAAUGCAGCAUCUCCACAUGUCUGCAGUAGCUGGACAUGCAAACGUCUCGUCAUUUCUGUUGGUGACAAAGUCACAGGUGACGUGAGCACGAAUGAGCCUUGUUCUCUGCACUAGUCAUGGGAGAAAUUGCUGAAUUUCAGUUCGAGAUUAGGGAAAAUAAAGAUAUAACCCACACACCGCCCCCACGCCCCCGUCCCCAUGUAGAAAAUUUUCGUCCUUGGGAUUUCCAUUCUGAGCCCAGUAUUUUCCAGACUUGUAUCUGUGGCAGGAGGGCCGGUUAGAACUGCCUGUGUGCCUGUGUCGGUCCCGGGCCCCCCGGCUGGAGCCUCGCUAUCAAGGCUGGAAAUUAACUGUUCCUGAAGGUGAUGUGCCCAGUAGCCGACCCUCCGGAAGCACUUGGUGGGGCCGGUGCGCCUGUCCCUGUGCAGAGGACACGCCCUGAGGAUGUCUCUCCGUCCCUGGGGGGCGCGGCUGGACCGCCUGGCACCC